rnacentral:rRNA from 1 species
ACACGACUACAUUAGAUACCCGCGUAGUCCUAGCCGUAAACGAUACUCGCUAGGUGUCGGCCACGGUGCGACCGUUGUCGGUGCCGUAGGGAAGCCGUGAAGCGAGCCACCUGGGAAGUACGGCCGCAAGGCUGAAACUUAAAGGAAUUGGCGGGGGAGCACAACAACGGGUGGAGAUUGCGGUUUAAUUGGAUUCAACGCCGGAAAUCUUACCGGGACCGACAGCAACAUGGAGGCCAAGCUGAAGACUUUGCCGGAUUAGCUG